CCUGAGGCAGACAAGCCCUUAUUUCCUCGGAAGGGCUUGAAACAGGAUCUGAGAAAUCCAAAGUCCUGUGUAUAUGGAAACAUAGAGACACAUAGAGGUAAACUGAAGUCAGAAUUACCUCCGAGUCUCGGAAUAUUCUCCCACAGAAUCUGUGUGGAAGAACUCCAGCAGAAGAUUUGCCCACUCUCUUUGGUGGUGAUGAAGGACAGGAACGGAGAAGGAAAAGGAGAUGUUGAGAAUAAAAGCCCUGGCUGUGUGGUGCUGGAAGUGAGCUGGACUCCAGCCUUGGUCACAGUUUGGACUCUGUGAUCUCAGAGGUCUUUCCCAGCCUGAAAGGAUUCCGUGAUUUUACAUUCACUGGAUGUGAAAGACACAAAUCCUGGAGACUCUGGGGCUCCCCUGAAGGCUGUGCUGGGAGAGGCACUGACAUGAGCACGGGGCUGGAGGGGAAGGCUGGCAGAGCUGGCUGCUCUCAUUGACAACACCCUGCACGUCAAUCUCACUUGUUUCUCCUAAUUUUAACUCCUCAUUCUGUCAUUAUUACUUUUUCCUUUAUUUUUUUCCUUUUUUUUUUUUUUUUUUUUUUUUUUUUUUUUUUUUUUUUUUUUUUCUGGGAUACCUUCAAAACCUUCUAGAAUCGAAACCUGCAAGUAAACAGAAAAACACAGGGAAGCACUCAAGUGACAGCAAAGAUAUUAGGACUGAAAAACUCGACUUUAAAUGAAAUAAACCUCCAAGCCCAGUAGUUUUUCUUGCUUUUCAUAUCAGCUGCUCUACAGAUGUUUUACUCAAUAAUCAGCUUUUCAAAAGUAUCAGCAGCUAACCAGGCACUGGCCAACACAGCUCCUGGAUAAAGCAGGAAUAAAAAGGGCAUUUCACCCCAAAUGUUGAUGGAAUUCUUACUCUGGGGGUGACACUGAAAUCUGCAGGACACUUUCUGCUCAGAUAUUGAGAAUUUAGCAACAGUGAGCUUGGACUCUUUGGAUGAGUGAUCCAAUGUUUCAGCCAUCAUCAGCUGCACAGGAGAGCUGGAGAGAAUUUUUAUAAAAGUAUAUGGUGACAGGACAAGGGGGAAUGGCUCUAAACUGGAAGAAAGUAGGGCUAGGUUUGGUAUUAAGAAGAAAUUCUUCUCUGUGAGGGGCACAGGGUGCCCAGAGCAGCUGGGGCUGCCCCUGGAUCCCUGGCAGUGCCCAAGGCCAGGCUGGACACUGGGGCUGGAGCAGCCUGGCACAGGGGAAGGUGUCCCUGCCAUGGCAGGGGAUGGGACUGGAUGGUUUUUAAGGCCCUUUCCAAACAGAGCCUUUCUGAGAUUUAAGAUUCUACUGCAGAACAAGUGAGAUGGCAGCAGUUUGGACUCUGCCAAACAGCAGAGCCCUGCA